rnacentral:rRNA from 1 species
CCUACGGGAGGCAGCAGUAGGGAAUCUUCCACAAUGGGCGAAAGCCUGAUGCAGCAACGCCGCGUGGGUGAAGAAGGUCUUCGGAUCGUAAAACCCUGUUGUUAGAGAAGAAAGUGCGUGAGAGUAACUGUUCACGUUUCGACGGUAUCUUACCAGAAAGCCACGGCUAACUACGUGCCAGCAGCCGCGGUAAUACGUAGGUGGCAAGCGUUAUCCGGAUUGAUUGGGCGUAAAGGGAACGCAGGCGGGCUUUUAAGUCUGAUGUGAAAGCCUUCGGCUUAACCGGGGUAGUGCAUUGGAAACUGGGAGGCUUGAGUGCAGGAGGGGAGAGUGGAACUCCAUGUGUAGCGGUGAAAUGCGUAGAUAUAUGGAAGAACACCAGUGGCGAAGGCGGCUCUCUGGUCUGUAACUGACGCUGAGGUUCGAAAGCGUGGGUAGCAAACAGGAUUAGAUACCCCAGUAGUC